rnacentral:rRNA from 1 species
GGGCCCGCACAAGCGGUGGAGUAUGUGGUUUAAUUCGAUGCAACGCGAAGAACCUUACCAGGGUUUGACAUCCUGCGAAUCUCUUGGAAACAGGAGAGUGCCUUCGGGAACGCAGUGACAGGUGGUGCAUGGCUGUCGUCAGCUCGUGUCGUGAGAUGUUGGGUUAAGUCCCGCAACGAGCGCAACCCACGUCUUUAGUUGCCAGCAUUUAGUUGGGCACUCUAGAGAGACUGCCGGUGCAAACCGUGAGGAAGGUGGGGAUGACGUCAAAUCAUCACGGCCCUUACGUCCUGGGCUACACACGUGCUACAAUGCUACGGACAAAGGGCAGCAAGUUCGCGAGGACAAGCAAAUCCCAUAAACCGUGGCUCAGUUCAGAUCGUAGGCUGCAACUCGCCUACGUGAAGGCGGAAUCGCUAGUAAUCGCAGGU